rnacentral:rRNA from 1 species
UACGUAGGGACCGAGCGUUGUCCGGAAUCAUUGGGCGUAAAGAGCGUGUAGGCGGCUCGCUAAGUCUUGCGUGAAAUCUCGGGGCUCAACCCCGAGCGGUCGUGAGAAACUGGCGGGCUAGAGUGCGGGAGAGGAGAGUGGAAUUCCUGGUGUAGCGGUGAAAUGCGCAGAUAUCAGGAGGAACACCGAUGGCGAAGGCAGCUCGCUGGGACGGUACUGACGCUGAGGCGCGAAAGCGUGGGGAGCAAACAGG